rnacentral:rRNA from 1 species
UAGGUGGGAGGCUUAGAAGUGUGGACGCCAGUCUGCAUGGAGCCGACCUUGAAAUACCACCCUUUAAUGUUUGAUGUUCUAACGUUGACCCGUAAUCCGGGUUGCGGACAGUGUCUGGUGGGUAGUUUGACUGGGGCGGUCUCCUCCUAAAGAGUAACGGAGGAGCACGAAGGUUGGCUAAUCCUGGUCGGACAUCAGGAGGUUAGUGCAAUGGCAUAAGCCAGCUUGACUGCGAGCGUGACGGCGCGAGCAGGUGCGAAAGCAGGUCAUAGUGAUCCGGUGGUUCUGAAUGGAAGGGCCAUCGCUCAACGGAUAAAAGGUACUCCGGGGAUAACAGGCUGAUACCGCCCAAGAGUUCAUAUCGACGGCGGUGUUUGGCACCUCGAUGUCGGCUCAUCACAUCCUGGGGCUGAAGUAGGUCCCAAGGGUAUGGCUGUUCGCCAUUUAAAGUGGUACGCGAGCUGGGUUUAGAACGUCGUGAGACAGUUCGGUCCCUAUCUGCCGUGGGCGCUGGAGAACUGAGGGGGGCUGCUCCUAGUACGAGAGGACCGGAGUGGACGCAUCACUGGUGUUCGGGUUGUCAUGCCAAUGGCACUGCCCGGUAGCUAAAUGCGGAAGAGAUAAGUGCUGAAAGCAUCUAAGCACGAAACUUGCCCCGAGAUGAGUU